rnacentral:rRNA from 1 species
AUUGAACGCUGGCGGCAGGCCUAACACAUGCAAGUCGAACGAGUGGCGGACGGGUGAGUAAUGUCUGGGAAACUGCCUGAUGGAGGGGGAUAACUACUGGAAACGGUAGCUAAUACCGCAUACCAUUAGAUGUGCCCAGAUGGGAUUAGCUAGUUGGUGGGGUAAAGGCUCACCAAGGCGACGCUCCCUCGCUGGUCUGAGAGGAUGACCAGCCAACCUGGAACUGAGACACGGUCCAGGCUCCUAAGGGAGGCAGCAGGGGGGAAUAUUGCACAAUGGGGGCAAGCCUGAUGAAGCCAUGCCGAGUGUAUGAAGAAGGCCUUCGGGUUGUAAAGUACUUUCAGCGGGGAGGCGUUACCCGCAGAAGAAGCACCGGCUAACUCCGUGCCAGCAGCCGCGGUAAUUC